rnacentral:rRNA from 1 species
UAGGGGGGGCCUAAUACAUGCAAGUCGAACGCACUCUCGUUAGAUUGAAGAAGCUUGCUUCUGAUUGAUAACAUUUGAGUGAGUGGCGGACGGGUGAGUAACACGUGGGUAACCUGCCCUAAAGUGGGGGAUAACAUUUGGAAACAGAUGCUAAUACCGCAUAAAACCUAGCACCGCAUGGUGCAAGGUUGAAAGAUGGUUUCGGCUAUCACUUUAGGAUGGACCCGCGGUGCAUUAGUUAGUUGGUGAGGUAAAGGCUCACCAAGACCGUGAUGCAUAGCCGACCUGAGAGGGUAAUCGGCCACACUGGGACUGAGACACGGCCCAGACUCCUACGGGAGGCAGCAGUAGGGAAUCUUCCACAAUGGACGAAAGUCUGAUGGAGCAACGCCGCGUGAGUGAAGAAGGUUUUCGGAUCGUAAAACUCUGUUGUUGGAGAAGAACGUAUUUGAUAGUAACUGAUCAGGUAGUGACGGUAUCCAACCAGAAAGCCACGGCUAACUACGUGCCAGCAGCCGCGGUAAUACGUAGGUGGCAAGCGUUGUCCGGAUUUAUUGGGCGUAAAGCGAGCGCAGGCGGUUUCUUAAGUCUGAUGUGAAAGCCUUCGGCUCAACCGAAGAAGUGCAUCGGAAACUGGGAAACUUGAGUGCAGAAGAGGACAGUGGAACUCCAUGUGUAGCGGUGAAAUGCGUAGAUAUAUGGAAGAACACCAGUGGCGAAGGCGGCUGUCUGGUCUGUAACUGACGCUGAGGCUCGAAAGCAUGGGUAGCAAACAGGAUUAGAUACCCUGGUAGUCCAUGCCGUAAACGAUGAGUGCUAGGUGUUGGAGGGUUUCCGCCCUUCAGUGCCGCAGCUAACGCAUUAAGCACUCCGCCUGGAGAGUACGACCGCAAGGUUGAAACUCAGAGGAAUUGACGGGGGCCCGCACAAGCGGUGGAGCAUGUGGUUUAAUUCGAAGCAACGCGAAGAACCUUACCAGGUCUUGACAUCCUUUGACCACUCUAGAGAUAGAGCUUUCCCUUCGGGGACAAAGUGACAGGUGGUGCAUGGUUGUCCUCAGCUCGUGUCGUGAGAUGUUGGGUUAAGUCCCGCAACGACCGCACCCUUAUUACUAGUUGCCAGCAUUUAGUUGGGCACUCU